GCCGUCUUAGCUCAGUGGCAGAGCGUCUCUCUCGUAAAGAGAAGGUCACAGGUUCAAACCCUGUAUGCGGCA
rfam:Strongyloides venezuelensis genome assembly, scaffold: SVE_scaffold0000081